ACCUAAAAAGCUAGCCCAAACCCUNAAAAAACAACCCCCUGUAAAUUAAAACCCAACAAAACACCAAACAAAACAUUUUACCUCCUUAGUACAGGCGAUAAAAAAGGAAACCCGGAGCAAUAAAGAAGUACCGCAAGGGAAAGCUGAAAGAGAAGUGAAACAACUACCCCAAGCCAUAAAAAGCAGAGAUUACCCCUCGUACCUUUUGCAUCAUGAUUUAGCAAGAACCCCUGAGCNAAAAGAAUUUUAGUUCAGCCCCCGAAACUAGACGAGCUACUUCAAGACAGCCUGUUGAAUAAACACCCGUAGGGCACACCCGUCUCUGUCGCAAAAGAGUGGGAAGAUCUUCAAGUAGAGGUGACAAACCUACCGAGCCUAGUUAUAGCUGGUUGUCUAAGAAGUGGAUUUAAGUUCAGCCUCCUGACCUCAUUAAUCAACGGCGUUACGCCCCCCACAGAUCGACGAUAGUCAAGAGAGUUAGUCAAAGGGGGUACAGCCCCUUUGAAAAAGGAUACAACCUCUACAGGUGAAAAAAGAUCAUACAACAUAAAGGAAACUAAUUUUAGUGGGCCCAAAAGCAGCCACCUAUGAAGAAAGCGUUGUAGCUCCCAUAGUUCCCAAGCCCUUAAUACCGAAACCCCACUCUUCACUCCCUAACACUAUUAGACCCUCCCACAAACCCUGGGAGAGACCCUGCUAAAAUGAGUAACAAGAGGGAACGCCCCUCUCCUAUCACACAUGUAAGUCGGAACGGACUAACCCCCGACAAUUAACGAGCCCCUAACGAGGGUAGUGUGGCACCACAUAAACAGCAAGAAGACCCCACACGGAAAUUCGUUACCCCAACACAGGUGUGAACCCAUGGAAAGAUUAAACCAAAGGGAAGGAACUCGGCAAACACAAGCCUCGCCUGUUUACCAAAAACAUCGCCUCUUGCAAAAUGAACAAAUAAGAGGUCCCGCCUGCCCAGUGACUAUAUGUUAAACGGCCGCGGUAUUUUGACCGUGCAAAGGUAGCGCAAUAAAUUGUCUCUUAAUUGGAGACUAGUAUGAAUGGCAUCACGAGGGCUUAACUGUCUCCCCUUUAAAAUCAGUGAAAUUGAUCUCCCCGUGCAGAAGCGGGGAUACACUCGUAAGACGAGAAGACCCUAUGGAGCUUAAGAUAUAAAUUAACCCACGUCAAAAACCCAAAGAGGAAAAGAACAGAGUGAACUUAAUAGCAUGUCUUUGGUUGGGAUGACCGCGGAGAAAAACAAAACCCCCGCACGGACAGGCCAAUCAGCCCUAAAACAUAGACCCACAGGUCAAAUCAACAGUAUUUCUGACCGACAGACCCGGCACAAGCCGAUUAAUGGACCUAGUUACCCUAGGGAUAACAGCGCAAUCCCCUCCAAGAGACCUUAUCAACGAGGGGGUUUACGACCUCGAUGUUGGAUCAGGACAUCCUAAUGGUGCAGUCGCUAUUAAGGGUUCGUUUGUUCAACGAUUAAAGUCCUACGUGAUCUGAGUUCAGACCGGAGUAAUCCAGGUCAGUUUCUAUCUACGCAUUGAUCUUUUUUAGUACGAAAGGACCAAAAAGAAGAGGCCUCUGUUAACGACACACCUCACCUCCCACUGAUGAAACCAAAUAAAACAGGAAGGAGGCAAAACAAAAUGUCCUAGACAAAGGACU
rnacentral:rRNA from 1 species